GUUGAACGCUGGCGGCAUGCCUAACACAUGCAAGUCGAGCGGACGAAGGAGGCUUUCUCCUGGCUUCUGCUGCGGACGGAUGAGUGAUUCCUAGGAAGCUGCCUUACCUAUGGGAAUAACGUCCGUUCACGGACGCUAAUAUCACAUCCGACCUGAUGGUGAAACGCAUGGAUCUUCGGUCAUCGCGCUAUCAGAUGAGCCUGGGACGUAUUAGCUAGUUGGUGGGGUAAGGGCUUACCAAGGCGACGAUCCGUAACUGGUCUGAGAGGAUGAUCAGUCACACUGGAACUGAGACACGGUCCAGACUCCUACGGGAGGCAGCAGUGGGGAAUCUUGGACAAUGGGCGAAAGCCUGAUCGAGCAAUGCCGCGUGUGUGAAGAAGGUCUUCGGAUUGUAAAGCACUGUAAGUAGGGAGGAAGGGAAGUAAGUGAAUACGUGGCUAUCUUGACGGUACCAACAGAAUAAGCACCGGCUAACUUCGUG
rnacentral:rRNA from 1 species